rnacentral:rRNA from 1 species
AUUGAACGCUGGCGGCAUGCCUUACACAUGCAAGUCGAACGGCAGCACGGGAGCAAUCCUGGUGGCGAGUGGCGAACGGGUGAGUAAUACAUCGGAACGUGCCCAAUCGUGGGGGAUAACGCAGCGAAAGCUGUGCUAAUACCGCAUACGAUCUACGGAUGAAAGCAGGGGAUCGCAAGACCUUGCGCGAAUGGAGCGGCCGAUGGCAGAUUAGGUAGUUGGUGAGGUAAAGGCUCACCAAGCCGUCGAUCUGUAGCUGGUCUGAGAGGACGACCAGCCACACUGGGACUGAGACACGGCCCAGACUCCUACGGGAGGCAGCAGUGGGGAAUUUUGGACAAUGGGCGAAAGCCUGAUCCAGCCAUGCCGCGUGCAGGAUGAAGGCCUUCGGGUUGUAAACUGCUUUUGUACGGAACGAAACGGCCUUUUCUAAUAAAGAGGGCUAAUGACGGUACCGUAAGAAUAAGCACCGGCUAACUACGUGCCAGCAGCCGCGGUAAUACGUAGGGUGCAAGCGUUAAUCGGAAUUACUGGGCGUAAAGCGUGCGCAGGCGGUUAUGUAAGACAGUUGUGAAAUCCCCGGGCUCAACCUGGGAACUGCAUCUGCGACUGCAUAGCUAGAGUACGGUAGAGGGGGAUGGAAUUCCGCGUGUAGCAGUGAAAUGCGUAGAUAUGCGGAGGAACACCGAUGGCGAAGGCAAUCCCCUGGACCUGUACUGACGCUCAUGCACGAAAGCGUGGGGAGCAAACAGG